AUGCCGAAACAAGAUCUGCAAUGGCAGUCUGUGUCAGUGUGGGGCCACAAGAGAAUUCUACCCCUCAGCACAGCCAUUGUCAGUCACUGGGACAGCACACAGCCCUUCUCUGAGCAGCCCACAGAUGGAGAACUGGAGCAAGAGACACAGCUAGGAGUGGAUCAUAACCGCAGGACUGAGGGAAGGCAUCGGCAAGUGUGUAGGAGAGGCUGUGAGAGAUCAGGCCACUGCAGUGUCUUCUGUACCUUGAUUUGGACAAGCAUUAGAUACAUCUCUGAUGAAUUCAAUGCCCUGAUUAGUCCUGGCUGGUUCGGGUGGGCUUGCCAAUCUUGUGAGUGA
rnacentral:lncRNA from 12 species